UAUGGAUUGUGCCAGCAGCCGCGCGGUAAUACCGGCAGCUCAAGUGGUCGUCACUUUUAUUGGGCUAAAACGUCCGUAGCCUGUUUGGUAAAUCUGUGGGUAAAUCAAUCCGCUCAACGGAUUGAAUUCUGCAGAGACUGCCAGACUAGGGACCGGGAGAGGUGUGGGGUACUCGAGGGGUAGGGGUAAAAUCCUGUCAUCCUUCGAGGACCACCAGUUGCGAAGGCGCCACACUGGAACGGAUCCGACGGUCAGGGACGAAGCCUAGGGGCACGAACCGGAUUAGAUACCCGGGUAGUCCUAGGUGUAAACGCUGUGAACUUGGUGUCGGGGGUCCGCAAGGGGUCCCCGGUGCCGGAGUGAAGAUGUUAAGUUCACUGCCUGGGGAGUACGGUCGCAAGGCUGAAACUUAAAGGAAUUGGCGGGGGAGCACUGCAACGGGAGGAGCGUGCGGUUUAAUUGGAUUCAACGCCGGAAAACUCACCAGGGCCGACUGUUAGAUGAAGACCAGCGUAACGAGCUUGUCGGAUUUUCAGAGAGGUGGUGCAUGGCCGUCGUCAGUUCGUACUGUAAAGCGUUCUGUUAAGUCAGAUAACGAACGAGACCCUCAUCUCUAUUUGCAACCUGUCUCUCCGGAGGCGGCGCACUAUAGAGAGACCGCUGGUGUGAGACCAGAGGAAGGCGAGGGCAACGACAGGUCAGUAUGCCCCGAAUGUCCUGGGCUACACGCGCGCUACAAAGGACGGGACAAUGGGAAGCUAGGCCGAGAGGCCACGCUAACCCGAAACCCGUUCAUAGUUCGGAUUGAGGGCUGUAACUCGCCCUCAUGAAGCUGGAUUCCGUAGUAAUCGUGUUUCAAUAUAGUACGGUGAAUAUGCCCCUGCUCCUUGCACACACCGCCCGUCA
rnacentral:rRNA from 1 species